AAAUUGAAGAGUUUGAUCAUGGCUCAGAUUGAACGCUGGCGGCAGGCCUAACACAUGCAAGUCGAACGGUAACAGGAAACAGCUUGCUGUUUCGAUGACGAGUGGCGGACGGGUGAGUAAUGUCUGGGAAACUGCCUGAUGGAGGGGGAUAACUACUGGAAACGGUAGCUAAUACCGCAUAACGUCGCAAGACCAAAGAGGGG
rnacentral:rRNA from 1 species